GUCCUGGCCCUAAACGAUGAAUGCUUGGUGUGGCGGGUAUCGAUCCCUGCCGUGCCGAAGCUAACGCAUUAAGCAUUCCGCCUGGGGAGUACGGUCGCAAAGGCUGAAAACUCAAAGGAAUUGACGGGGGCCCCGCACAAGCGGUGGAGCAUGUGGUUCAAUUCGACGCAACGCGAAGAACCUUACCCAGGCUUGAACAGCCAGUGACCACUCCUGAAAAGGAGCUUCCGCAAGGACACUGGUAGAGGUGCUGCAUGGCUGUCGU
rnacentral:rRNA from 1 species